UGCUUUGCCAUUUCUUCUUCAGCUCAUUUUAAGAUGAGGAAAUUGAGGCAAACAGGGUUACAUGACUUAUUCAGAACAUACCAAUAAUAAGUAUCUGAGGUCAGAUCUGAACUUAGGAAGAUGAGUGUUCCUAAUUUCAGGUCCACCACUCUAUUCUAGUAACCUACCUGUCCUAGGCUGAGGUACCUGAAUGAUAUUCUAGAAAAAAAAAAUAUUGUCAUGUCACAGAAAGAAAGAAAGUCAACCAAGAUCAGUGUCACAAAAAACAUAGAAGAAAGAGUAUCUAGGAGGAAGGACUGACCCACAGGUUCAAAUCGAUUUCAGUACAAGUUUGGGAUGUCUGAGAAAUACCACACUGAACCAGAACCCAGACCUACUCUGCAAGGAUUGUCCACAGAAACAAUUCAACCUAACAAAAAUGAGCUAGAUCCAGACUGAUGCAGCAUGCCAUAAUGAAUCAG
rnacentral:lncRNA from 1 species